CUACGGGGUGCAGCAGUCGAGAAUAUUGGGCAAUGGACGCAAGUCUGACCCAGCGACGUCGCGUGCAGGAAGAAGGCUUUCGGGUUGUAAACUGCUUUUCUUGGGGAGCAAUCUUCGGAUGAGUGUACCCAAGGAAUAAGGAGCCGCUAAUUACGUGCCAGAAGCGUCGGUAAUACGUAAGCUUCAAGCGUUAUCCGGAUUUAUUGGGCGUAAAGCGUUCGUAGGCGGAUUAAAAAGUCUUUGAUUAAAUUAAAAAGCUUAACUUUUGAGCUGUCAAAGAUACUUUUAGACUAGAGGGCGUUAGAGGCUGAUGGAACGGUCAGUGUAGGGGUGAAAUCCGUUGAUAUUGACCGGAACACCAAAAGCGAAGGCAUUCAGCUAGAGCGACCCUGACGCUGAAGAACGAAAGCGUGGGUAUCGAAUGGGAUUAGAUACCCCCGUAGUC
rnacentral:rRNA from 1 species